rnacentral:lncRNA from 1 species
AAAUAAACGCAGCAUAAUACAAAACAAGAAACACGAACAACGCCAAGACAUGAAACAAUGACGCCUGGGGAAGGAACCAAAGGGAGUGACAUAUAUAGGGAAGGUAAUCAGGGAGGUGAUGGAGUCCAGGUGAGUCUGAUGAUGCACAGGUGCGCGUAACGAAGGUGACAGGUGUGCGCCAUAACGAGCAGCCUGGUGACCUAGAGGCCAGAGAGGGAGCACACGUGACACUUUCCCUCUAUCAAUUCAAUUCAAUUCAAAGGGCUUUAUUGGCAUGGGAAACAUAUGUUAACAUUGCCAAAGCAAGUGAAAUAGAACAUAAACAAAAGUUAAAUAAACAAUAAAAAAAUGAACUGUAAACAUUACACUCACAAAAGUUCCAAAAGAAAAAGACGUUUGAAAUCUCUCUGUCUCUGUCUCUGUCUCGCUCUCUCUCUCUCUCUGUCUCUCUCCUUCUCUUUCUCUCUCUGUCUCUCUCCUCCCAGAAUGGUGUUUAAUGAGGCUGGCACUGCCUGUAAGUGAUUUAAUAACCAGGACUUACUACAGGGAGGUACAUUUGCCCUGGUCUGUGUUGGGGUUGGGCAGCUGCACACUUGCUAUCACUUGAUUAUUCUGUCUGUCUGACUCUAAUGUGUCCCCCUGCUGCCGGCUGGUACCGUCGCUGCAACCAUGUAUCCCCCUGCUGCCGGCUGGUACCGUCGCUGCAACCAUGUAUCCCCCUGCUGCCGGCUGGUACCAUCGCUGCAACCAUGUAUCCCCCUGCUGCCGGCUGGUACCGUCGCUGCAACCAUGUAUCCCCCUGCUGCCGGCUGGUACCGUCGCUGCAACCAUGUAUCCCCCUGCUGCCAGUUGGUACCUGUCGACUACCACCCCCACUGUAUACAUAUGUGCGCACGCACACACUCCUGCUGCGUUUUGGUCCUCAUUCACCGACAACAACCUUGACAGAAUCACCCACCACCAAAGGACCAAGCAGCAGAGGAAGGAGCAGACGGAGUUCGAGUUGGACUGGCGGGAGAAGUGGACUUGGGAGGAAGUUCUGG